rnacentral:rRNA from 1 species
CCUACGGGUGGCAGCAGUGAGGAAUAUUGGUCAAUGGACGAGAGUCUGAACCAGCCAAGUAGCGUGAAGGAUGACUGCCCUAUGGGUUGUAAACUUCUUUUAUAUAGGAAUAAAACGAGCCACGUGUGCGUUUUUGCAUGUACUUUAUGAAUAAGGAUCGGCUAACUCCGUGCCAGCAGCCGCGGUAAUACGGAGGAUCCGAGCGUUAUCCGGAUUUAUUGGGUUUAAAGGGAGCGUAGAUGGGUUGUUAAGUCAGUUGUGAAAGUUUGCGGCUCAACCGUAAAAUUGCAGUUGAUACUGGCAGUCUUGAGUACAGUUGAGGUAGGCGGAAUUCGUGGUGUAGCGGUGAAAUGCUUAGAUAUCACGAAGAACCCCGAUUGCGAAGGCAGUUUACUAAACUGUAACUGACAUUGAUGCUCGAAAGUGUGGGUAUCAAACAGGAUUAGAUACCCGUGUAGUC